rnacentral:rRNA from 1 species
CUACACAUGCAGUCGACGGUAACAGGAAGCAGCUUGCUGCUUCGCUGACGAGUGGCGGACGGGUGAGUAAUGUCUGGGAAACUGCCUGAUGGAGGGGGAUAACUACUGGAAACGGUAGCUAAUACCGCAUAACGUCGCAAGACCAAAGAGGGGGACCUUCGGGCCUCUUGCCAUCGGAUGUGCCCAGAUGGGAUUAGCUAGUAGGUGGGGUAACGGCUCACCUAGGCGACGAUCCCUAGCUGGUCUGAGAGGAUGACCAGCCACACUGGAACUGAGACACGGUCCAGACUCCUACGGGAGGCAGCAGUGGGGAAUAUUGCACAAUGGGCGCAAGCCUGAUGCAGCCAUGCCGCGUGUAUGAAGAAGGCCUUCGGGUUGUAAAGUACUUUCAGCGGGGAGGAAGGCGAUAAGGUUAAUAACCUUGUCGAUUGACGUUACCCGCAGAAGAAGCACCGGCUAACUCCGUGCCAGCAGCCGCGGUAAUACGGAGGGUGCAAGCGUUAAUCGGAAUUACUGGGCGUAAAGCGCACGCAGGCGGUCUGUCAAGUCGGAUGUGAAAUCCCCGGGCUCAACCUGGGAACUGCAUUCGAAACUGGCAGGCUAGAGUCUUGUAGAGGGGGGUAGAAUUCCAGGUGUAGCGGUGAAAUGCGUAGAGAUCUGGAGGAAUACCGGUGGCGAAGGCGGCCCCCUGGACAAAGACUGACGCUCAGGUGCGAAAGCGUGGGGAGCAAACAGGAUUAGAUACCC